rnacentral:rRNA from 1 species
AAUAUUGCAAAAUGGGCACAAGCCUGAUGCAGCAACGCCGCGUGCGCGACGAAGGCCUUCGAGUCGUACCGCGCUUUUCGGGGCGAUGAGCACGGACAGUAUCCCCGGAAGAAGGAUCGGCUAACUACGUGCCAGCAGCCGCGGUAAAACGUAGGAUCCGAGCGUUAUCCGAAUUCACUGGGCGUAAAGCGCAUGCAGGCGGCCGCACAAGUUGGAUGUGAAAUCUCCCGGCUCAACUGGGAGGGGACGUUCAAAACUGUGCGGCUCGAGGGCGGUAGAGGAAGGUAGAAUUCCCGGUGUAGUGGUGAAAUGCGUAGAUAUCGGGAGGAAUACCCGUGGCGAAGGCGACCUUCUGGACCGUUUCUGACGCUCAGAUGCGAAAGCUAGGGGAGCAAACAGG